CUCUGCACUAAUAUACCAGAUCCUAAAAUGCAUAUAAGGUGGACUAGCAUCUUAAUUCUGCUAGUUGAUUGUGUCUUUACUGAAAAGAACCCAGCUACCAAUUUGCCUUUUUUUACACCACAAAUCCUAAUUAGAAACUUGAGGUUUUAUAGAAAUCAUUUAAUGAUAGAGAUUACAUAUGUGAAUUAAUGUGAAUAUAGUAUCUGUGCUUCCUGUGUCUAUGACUAUUUUAAGAUAUAAUUGUGCUGCGCUAUCAGAUUAACAUUUGGAAGUUUCUAGAACAGUUAAUGCUAUUUACAGAAAGGAGUAGAAACUCAUCAACUGGCACUCUCUUUGAUUUUUAUAUUUUAAAUUAACUCUCUUCGAUCUCAAAGUAUAUUUUACGAGUAAUUUUAUUAGGAAUCUCUUAUAGUGCCCCAAUGGGAUAAGCUAUUUGCCUAUUUUCACAGUUCUGAACUUGGAAAGAAGCAAAGUAUAUGUAACUAAACCACAUAUUUGUCUUUUUAUUGCUUUUUCCCUUCUUUUAUAUGCUAAAUCAAAUAUAGAUUUGUGGAUAGGGAAGCAAUAUGUGAAUCACAAUGUAGCAGAGGCAGACCAAGCAUUACAUUAUUAUUUAGAGCUGGACUGCACCAAUUACUUGUCCUCGUGCCAAAGGCAAAUAUGUUUGCACCUUUUUUUUUUUUUCUGAUUCUCAGGUUGAUUAAUACUGCUAAUGCAAAUGCUCAAGUAGAUGUUUAAAAACUUUACAAAAUAGAUUCAAGUGAUACUUUCUUUUAAAAGUGAAGAGUUGAUGAUUACACAUAGUAAAUUCAUGAACUACAGUAGGUUUGUAUCAAACAAUUUUUUUUAAUGAAAAUCUGUUGAGGUGUACACAAUAUGCUUCUUGAUUGUAUUAGUCCUUGGUCUCUGCUAGACCUCAUGAGUUUCAUCAUUUAGAAAAGGGGUAGAGGAUGAACUAAUGUCUCCUUCAGAUGUAAACAUGAAAUACCUAGAGUUUUACUUGCUUUUCAAUACACUGAAUAAUUUUAAAUGAUUCUGACACUGAUGUAGACCCUUUGACUUAUAAAUUCUGAGGAAACAACUGACAGCAUAAAAUAUUUACAUUCUUAUAACACAGCACAGUGACUUUCUUCUUUCAAGAUUGUAGCUCAGAGAAAAGAUACAGGAUUCAAUUGGGGGUUCAAUAGGAUAGAAAUGGAGAGAUUCCUUUGUGUUGUAGUAGAGGCAUUUUCCUAAGGAGUAUAGAUUUAUACUUUGCAUUUUCAUUCAUCAUCCCCCAGAAUCAUGGUCAAGGUGUAGGUCACUCCACACAGCUGAUGCUCAGGUUAUUCCCUUGUGAGAAUUAUGAGAAUAAAGCUCCCAAGAUAUGUGAAAGUGCUUAACACAGUACCUGGCACACAGCACUCAAUAAAAGUUUGGCUCUAUUAUGGGAUGGUUCAAUUCUGGUUUAAGGAAGGAAGAAAGGUUAUUAUAUAUGUACCACUAAGCAAAUAUAUAUAUAUAUAUAUAUUUGGGGUUUUUUUUCCCUAAUAUUAUUUGGGUGUCCCCUGUGCUUCUUUAGGAUGUAGUUAUAACUAAACCUGUUAUACUUGAACAUCACUAAGAGAAGUAAAUUAUUAUGAAGCUAGCAAAAAUCUUGAGGCCAAAGUUGUUUCUUAACAGCUUUAAUAAUGCUUGUUGAUUUUGAAUAAUCCUUUAAAAAGUGGACCAUUUGCUUAUUUUAAUAUCACGUCAGUAAAAUGUUAGUAUUAAAAAGAUCAGCUUUUUAUGGCAUUGAAGAAUGUAUCUGCUAAGACACAAAAAUUGCAUGGUAAGUAUAAUAGGUGGAGGAGGAAAGGUUGUAGGCCGGAUGAAAAUUUAACUGACUAGAACAUUUAUUCAGGAGUGUAAUUAUUUUCCCUUACCCCAAUCCCUGUGUACGUGUUGGGUAUAGUUACGACAUUAUCCGGAUUUGCAAAUAGACACAACUUUCAGUCUUACCCUGUUUAUUGUUUAAGAGUGAUAGACUGUUGUCCUCUUGCUGGUGGAAAAUCUAAGGUGGAGCCCACUCUUCUAUGCUGAAGUUCACCAGGCAGAGCAGUUUUCUUACAAGUCAGCUACUCUGCUUGGUUUAUUUUAGGUUUUGGUACUUCACGUAAGCACUGUUAGAAGGUACAAGUGUAUUAAUAUCACUAGUUUUGAGGCGCUUGGGUACAUUUGUUUUUAAUAUAUUUAGAAUGUGCAGUAAACUUUUUUCUCAUUUUUUUUUCUUUUUAGCAAACUUGUUAUUUUAGGUCCAAUUAUUGAGUUGACAGUCUACUGUGAGAAUGAGAUGACAUAUCUACUGUGAGAAUACCAUAAAUGAUGAAUAGUUUAUUUGAGAACUUUUAUACUCAGUGGUGUUUUAUAUAUUAAGAUAAAAAUAUGUACACACAUGCAUGUCACAUCUCUCUACUGUGGAGUUAAUGUGAAUUUUUAAAAAAUGGAAUUGCAACCACAAUCAUAUCUAAGAGAACAUUCACUCCUAGUGAGGGUUUACAAAAGCUACUAAGAGAAUAAGGUAGAUGAUAAUGCAAAGGGUCAUGAUUUGGGGUUAUUUUUGUUUUAUUUUAAAAUUUAUACUGCUACUUUUGAAAGAAUUGUUUUUAUGACUAUGCUCUUUUUGUGAUUGAAAAGUCAUCUAAUAGAAGCUGUAUAGAAGCUACUUUUUAAUUGCUGGCAAACAGCUUUAAGUGCACUUUCUUUGAUUACACUUCCAUUUUUUGUUAAACUUGAAUUUUCUGAAGCCUUUUAUGUACCACUAAGCAAAUAACUUUAACCUUUAAAUAAAGCAAAUUUACAUCUUUAUUGUAUUUCUACUUGUUACAAAACAUACUUGCUAAAGUAACUUCAGUCCUCAAAUAUAGCUGGGAAACAAUUAUGAGAUAGACUCAGUCUCCCCCUCCCACCCCUUUUCCCCUGCCAUAUCUAAUUAAGCACUAACUGAUUUUAUUACUUUAUUGCCUUUACACUGCUUAUUCUUUUUGACUGAAUUCUGUCCCUGAUUCACUGUUUUGUUUGAAAUUUAAAGUUAUUUUCUUACUGUAUUUAUCAUACCUGUUUUAAUCUGUUUUCUUUAAAUGCAAUAAAUCCCAAAUGGAUUGCAUAUUCUUUAU
rnacentral:lncRNA from 10 species